rnacentral:rRNA from 1 species
GGGGAAACUUGUGCUAAUACCGGAUAAGUCCUAACGGAGAAAGAUUUAUCGCCGAAAGAUGAGCCCGCAUUAGAUUAGCUUGUUGGUAAGGUAAAAGCUUACCAAGGCUACGAUCUAUAGCUGAUUUGAAAGGAUGAUCAGCCACACUGGGACUGAGACACGGCCCAGACUCCUACGGGAGGCAGCAGUGGGGAAUCUUGCACAAUGGAGGAAACUCUGAUGCAGCGAUGCCGCGUGAGUGAAGAAGGCCCUUGGGUUGUAAAGCUCUUUCGUCGGGGAAGAAAAUGACUGUACCCGAAUAAGAAGGUCCGGCUAACUUCGUGCCAGCAGCCGCGGUAAUACGAAGGGACCUAGCGUAGUUCGGAAUUACUGGGCUUAAAGAGUUCGUAGGUGGUUGAAAAAGUUAGUGGUGAAAUCCCAGAGCUUAACUCUGGAACUGCCAUUAAAACUUUUCAGCUAGAGUAUGAUAGAGGAAAGCAGAAUUUCUAGUGUAGAGGUGAAAUUCGUAGAUAUUAGAAAGAAUACCAAUUGCGAAGGCAGC